rnacentral:rRNA from 1 species
GGAUGCGAUCAUACCAGCAGUAAAGCACCGGAUCCCAUCAGAACUCUGAAGUUAAGCGUGCUUGGGCGAGAGUAGUACUAGGAUGGGUGACCUCCUGGGAAGUCCUCGUGUUCCAUUCC